AACAGCAUCUCCAGCUGCAUCGGAGGAAAGAAGCGCCAGCGUGCUCCGUGCCACGUCGGAUUUGGCUCAAGACUGGUUGCAGCUGCGGGAGCGCAGCGCUGUCCCCGCGCACGCCCUGGCUACGGGCUGCUUAGCUGGGCGUCCGGCACAAGGAGGGAUGCGCGCUCUCCUCUCUCCCCGAGUGGCGAAUGCCACAGCCUGCGUGAGGGACCCCUUGCCCCAGAAAGGCUUUCGCAGGAUGGCUGUGCCCGGAUGCUCACUGCCUGACACUUAAAUGGAGUUUGGAAACUGCAAACGAGUUGGAGGCCUUGGAAAAGGGGGGAGUGGCUGAACCAGGAUGGUAGCGCGAAGAGGUGGCUCAGGACUUUUCCUUCCUUACGGUCUCUUCCAGCUUAAUGUAGCUGGAAGCCAGGAUCGUUUAACCCUUUCAGUACAAGUCCAAAUUGAGCUUUUUUUUUUUAUUUGUGACCCCACCCCACCCCCUGCACAGAACUGUGUCAGGGUGUUCCUGCCCACAUACUGGGGGGUUUGGGGGUAGGGGGGUUAGGGGGGGUUAGGAAGGUAAGGACAGUUGUGGGAUGAACUUUCCUUACACAGUGGAAAUCAUUGUUUUCUAACUCCGGAGUCCCUUUGACGCUCGGGAAGAUGCCCAGUGGAAAAGUACACCUCGGGACCAUCAGCUUUCCUUGGCCACGCCAGUUACCUGUGCGCCCAGAGAGGCAGCGGAUUCCACCGAAGAUAAAAACCCAGGCUAAGGCAUUCAAAGUUCACCCCAAAGCGCCUGUAUAACGUACCUUGUUCAGCUCCUGCUCAUAGACUCGUCCUCCGCCUGUCUGUGUGGUCCCGGAGGGUCGUGGAAGGAAGUUUCCAAAAUUGAGGUAAUAAGAAAUCAGAUGAAUUUGAGACGACCGGCCAAAAAAAAUAAGAAAUUUAAAAACAACAUUUAAAAAAAAAAUGGGGGGAGCCUUAAAUGUUUGGUUCUCCCCUCUUUGAGAAGAAAAUGCAUUAAUAUGCUCUUUUAUUAUUUCCGUUGCAUUUAAGUCUUCUAAAUUUUUUUGUUAAAUGUGCUUUAAAAAUAAAUUAAAUUUUCCCCUGUUUUGCUAUUUGCUCCAAUCCCCUUCCCUCCGACAAGGCAAAGUCUCCUUUUUCCACAUCAACCUAAAAGUCCGGUGAAGACUCAGCAGAGCCUAGCAAGAGCGGAAUGGAGGUCUUUGGCUGGUUCAAGUCCCCGGUUCAAUGGGCUGCUCAGAGCCAGGACUGGAGAAACGCAGCGCACAGAUGCUGACCAUCGCCUGAUACCUCUCCACAGGCAGUGGCCAAGAAGUGGGAAGCCCUGCUCUGUAAAUAUUGCUGAGGUCUGUCUGUGUGACAAGGAUUCCCUCUGCUUGAUAAACUCCCCGUUACAAAUAAGUGAUUUGUUUUAAGGCCAAACGGUUUUCUUAGGCUAAAUCACUGCCCCGAGCGGGAUACCGGCUGUGUGUGUGUGUGUGUGUGUGUGUGUGUGUGUGUGUGUGUGUGUGUGUGUGUUUCCGCCCGCGCUACCUGGAGCAACCCCAAACCGCCUAAGACGCUUAAAAAAGAGCGACUAGUCUGCCAUUUGUUAACCCUUUCUUCCUGCCAACUCCAAACUUUCUAAGCAAAUGGCAAAUGUCAACGUCUCUCCCUUGCAGUUUUCGCUGUGGGUGGGCUGAGUCCUGAAAUGAGGAAGAAUUUUAACAUUUAUUUUUUUCUUAUGAUUCCCAGACCUGAAAACAUGCAAAAGAUUUUCGAAAGGAGGUUUAAACUAAUGAUGAUAACGAUAAACCUGAGAAAAUGUGUACGGAAGCAGUCGCCUCUUAAGACAUCUGAAAUUACUUUUGCUUCUUGAAAGUCUUUUAGUUAAUGUUUUCAAAAUACUUUUUAAAAAUUUCAAUGACGCCAUGACUGGACAGUUUGUUUUCUCGGUUAUUUUUCUCAACCUAAGGGCAUCCGCGCCCUUUUUCUUUGAUCCUUGCAGUCCCCGCCCCUGCCCCCACCCAAAGCAAAAGGUAAAAAGGA
rnacentral:sRNA from 1 species